rnacentral:rRNA from 1 species
GACGAACGCUGGCGGCGUGCUUAACCCAUGCAAGUCGAGCGGUAAGGUCCUUUCGGGGGUACACGAGCGGCGAACGGGUGAGUAACACGUGGGUGACCUGCCCUCAGCUCUGGGAUAAGCCUGGGAAACCGGGUCUAAUACCGGAUAUGACUCCAUGACGCAUGUUGUGGGGUGGAAAGCCUUGUGCGGCUGAGGAUGGGCCCGCGGCCUAUCAGCUUGUUGGUGGGGUGAUGGCCACCAAGGCGACGACGGGUAGCCGGCCUGAGAGGGCGACCGGCCACACUGGGACUGAGACACGGCCCAGACUCCUACGGGAGGCAGCAGUGGGGAAUCUUGCGCAAUGGGCGAAAGCCUGACGCAGCGACGCCGCGUGAGGGAUGACGGCCU